rnacentral:rRNA from 1 species
GAUGAACGCUGGCGGCGUGCUUAACACAUGCAAGUCGAACGAAGCACUUUAUUUGAUUUUCUUCGGAAAUGAAGAUUUUGUGACUGAGUGGCGGACGGGUGAGUAACGCGUGGAUAACCUGCCUCAUACAGGGGGAUAACAGCCGGAAACGGCUGCUAAUACCGCAUAAGCGCACGGUACCGCAUGGUACAGUGUGAAAAACUCCGGUGGUAUGGGAUGGAUCCGCGUCUGAUUAGCCAGUUGGCGGGGUAACGGCCCACCAAAGCGACGAUCAGUAGCCGACCUGAGAGGGUGACCGGCCACAUUGGGACUGAGACACGGCCCAAACUCCUACGGGAGGCAGCAGUGGGGAAUAUUGCACAAUGGGGGAAACCCUGAUGCAGCGACGCCGCGUGAGCGAAGAAGUAUUUCGGUAUGUAAAGCUCUAUCAGCAGGGAAGAAGAAAUGACGGUACCUGACUAAGAAGACCCCGGCUAACUACCGUG